rnacentral:rRNA from 1 species
CCUACGGGUGGCAGCAGUGGGGAAUAUUGCACAAUGGGCGCAAGCCUGAUGCAGCCAUGCCGCGUGUGUGAAGAAGGCCUUCGGGUUGUAAAGCACUUUCAGCGGGGAGGAAGGCGUUAAGGUUAAUAACCUUGUCGAUUGACGUUACCCGCAGAAGAAGCACCGGCUAACUCCGUGCCAGCAGCUGCGGUAAUACGGAGGGUGCAAGCGUUAAUCGGAAUUACUGGGCGUAAAGCGCACGCAGGCGGUCUGUCAAGUCGGAUGUGAAAUCCCCGGGCUCAACCUGGGAACUGCAUUCGAAACUGGCAGGCUAGAGUCUUGUAGAGGGGGGUAGAAUUCCAGGUGUAGCGGUGAAAUGCGUAGAGAUCUGGAGGAAUACCGGUGGCGAAGGCGGCCCCCUGGACAAAGACUGACGCUCAGGUGCGAAAGCGUGGGGAGCAAACAGGAUUAGAUACCCUAGUAGUC